rnacentral:rRNA from 1 species
UACGGAGGGUGCAAGCGUUAUCCGGAUUCGCUGGGCUUAAAGGGCGCGUAGGUGGGCUGGUAAGUCAGUGGUGAAAUCUCCGAGCUUAACUUGGAAACUGCCAUUGAUACUAUCAGUCUUGAAUAUUGUGGAGGUCAGCGGAAUAUGUCAUGUAGCGGUGAAAUGCUUAGAUAUGACAUAGAACACCAAUUGCGAAGGCAGCUGGCUACACAUAUAUUGACACUGAGGCACGAAAGCGUGGGGAUCAAACAGG